rnacentral:rRNA from 1 species
CCUACGGGUGGCAGCAGUGAGGAAUAUUGGUCAAUGGACGCAAGUCUGAACCAGCCAUGCCGCGUGCAGGAAGACGGCCCUCUGAGCUGUAAACUGCUUUUGUACGAGGGUAAACGCAGUUACGUGUAUAUGUCUGAAAGUAUCGUACGAACAAGGAUAGGCUAACUCCGCGCCAGCAGCCGCGCUAAUACGGAGGAUUCAAGCGUUGUCCGGAUUUAUUGGGCUUAACGGGUGCGUAGGCGGUCGGAUAAGUUAGAGGUGAAAUCCCGAGGCUCAACUUCGGAAUUGCCUCUGAUACUGUUCGGCUAGAGAGUAGUUGCGGUAGGCGGAAUGUAUGGUGUAGCGGUGAAAUGCUUAGAGAUCAUACAGAACACCGAUGGCGAAGGCAGCUUACCAGGCUACUUCUGACGUUGAGGCACGAAAGCGUGGGGAGCAAACAGGAUUAGAUACCCGAGUAGUC